AUGAACGCUGGCGGCGUGCCUAAUACAUGCCGGUCGAGCGAACGGACGAGAAGCUUGCUUCUCUGAUGUUAGCGGCGGACGGGUGAGUAACACGUGGAUAACCUACCUAUAAGACUGGGAUAACUUCGGGAAACCGGAGCUAAUACCGGAUAAUAUUUUGAACCGCAUGGUUCAAAAGUAAAAGACGGUCUUGCUGUCACUUAUAGAUGGAUCCGCGCUGCAUUAGCUAGUUGGUAAGGUAACGGCUUACCAAGGCAACGAUGCAUAGCCGACCUGAGAGGGUGAUCGGCCACACUGGAACUGAGACACGGUCCAGACUCCUACGGGAGGCAGCAGUAGGGAAUCUUCCGCAAUGGGCGAAAGCCUGACGGAGCAACGCCGCGUGAGUGAUGAAGGUCUUCGGAUCGUAAAACUCUGUUAUUAGGGAAGAACAUAUGUGUAAGUAACUGUGCACAUCUUGACGGUACCUAAUCAGAAAGCCACGGCUAACUACGUG
rnacentral:rRNA from 1 species